rnacentral:rRNA from 1 species
AUUGAACGCUGGCGGCAGGCCUAACACAUGCAAGUCGCACGAGUGGCGGACGGGUGAGUAAUGUCUGGGAAACUGCCCGAUGGAGGGGGCUAACUACUGGAAACGGUAGCUAAUACCGCAUACCCUCGGAUGUGCCCAGAGGGUAUUAGCUAGUAGGUGGGGUAAUGGCUCACCUAGGCGACGAUCCCUAGCUGGUCUGAGAGGAUGACCAGCCACACUGGAACUGAGACACGGUCCAGACUCCUACGGGAGGCAGCAGGGGGGAAUAUUGCACAAUGGGCGCAAGCCUGAUGCAGCCAUGCCGCGUGUAUGAAGAAGGCCUUCGGGUUGUAAAGGACUUUCAGCGAGGAGGCGUUAUUCGCAGAAGAAGCACCGGCUAACGCCGUGCCAGCCGCCGCGGUAAUUC